CUUGCCUCUUGGUCUGGGACAACUGUUGGAAACGACAGCUAAUACCGGAUAUUAUGAGAUUCUCGCAUGGGAAACUUAUGAAAGCUAUAUGCGCCAAGAGAGAGCCUUGCGUUCCAUUAGCUAGUUGGUGGGGUAACGGCCCACCAAGGCGACGAUGGAUAGCCGGCCUGAGAGGGUGAACGGCCACAAGGGGACUGAGACACGGCCCUUACUCCUACGGGAGGCAGCAGUGGGGAAUAUUGGACAAUGGGCCACAAGCCUGAUCCAGCAAUUCUGUGUGCACGAUGAAGGUCUUCGGAUUGUAAAGUGCUUUCACUUGGGA
rnacentral:rRNA from 1 species